rfam:Triticum urartu cultivar G1812 contig21933, whole genome shotgun sequence.
ACAUUUUAGGUCGAGUAGAGACGCUAGGGAGUCUGUGGGCUUACCUUGGCAUUUCAAGAUGGCCUCUAUCGUCUUUUCGAGCCCGUCACACUAUAGGAGAUGGCCAUGUUUGAAGUCAUUACCCUUAACCGUAAGGAGGGGGAUGCCUAAGGCUAGGCUUGCGACUGGAGUGAAGUCAUAACAAGGUAGCCGUACUGGAAGGUGCGGCUGGAUCACCUCCUUU